GGUUUAUAAAGAGCCCUGCUUACCUAAGAUAAGACUCUAUGUCCUAUCUCACUACAUGUAAAAAUACCUACAAAAAUAGUAGGCCAAAUUUCAGUACAUUUUACUCAUAUUAGAGCACAUUCUACACUGCCAGGACCAUUAACUAGAAAAAAUCAAAAUAUUGAUCAACUAUUAUUCCCCUUACAAAAGGCUCAUCUAGAACAUGCUUUACAUUGUACAAACACUAAAGAACUUUAUAAAAAAUACAAAAUAACUCAAAAACAAACACAUGAAAUUAUAGCUAACUGUUCAUCAUGUGCUCCUUUUAAUAUUCCUUACUGUCCUCCUGGUGUUAAUCCAAGGGGACUCCAUCCUAAUGCCCUUUAACAAAUGGAUGUUGUUAUAAUUCAGUCAUUUGGACGACUAAGAUAUGUACACCAUACUAUUGACACUCAUAUUCAUUUUCUAUGGGCCACAGUAUUAUCUUCAAAAAAAGCUGAUGCAAUCAUUUCUCAUUUAUUAUCUUGUUUUGCUGUCAUGGGAAUUCCUAGAGAACUUAAAACUCACAAUGCACCUGCAUAUACCUCACAAAAAUUACAUUCAUUUUUACAGAAAUAUGACAUUACACAUACAUUUGACAUACCUUAUAAUAGUCAAGGUCAAGCUAUUAUAAAAAGGACAAAUCAUACGUUAAAAAUAUAUAUACUAAAAAUAAAAAGGGGGCAUAUGGCUAUGGCUUAUACACCUCAAAAUAUACUUCAUAAAACUUUACUAACUUUACAUCUUUUAAUGUCUAGUCAGGUUCCAAGGUUCCUGCAGCCCAGCAACAUUUCUCUACAUUUAAAUCUCAGCCAUUAUUUCAAAAAUCGUAAAUACCUAUAUGGUACAGGGAUGAAAAAUAAGAAUGGAUUUCUAGGUUAUUGCACCACAUGGGAAGGGGGUUUGCUCUUAUUUCUACAGGUAAAACACCUUUCUGGGUACCUUCAAUACUUAUCAAAUUGCAGAAUGAGCGACCCAUUUGUCAGACAAUUUCAGGAGCUGGCAAUGCAGAGAACUUCUACAAUGGCAACGAGAACAGCAGACCCCCCAACAUGGGGACAGAAGAAAAAGUUGACUCAAGAAGCUGAAAAAAACCUUCAAAAGGCAAAUCAGCCUUUAAAUCUUGUUAAUCUUUUAUUAGCUAUGCUUGCAGUUACUAAUUGCCAGUUGCUUCUGUAACUGCCACUGCUGCAGUAGCUGGCGUUGCUUUACAUCAAGGCAUUCAAACUGCGGAUUUCAUGAGAACAUGGCAUCAAGAUGCUCAUUUAUUAUGGCAACAACAAAAGGACUUAGACUCUCAAUUGGCUACAGAUGUGAUACAUUUACAACAUACUGUUUCCUGGCUUGGCGAUAAAGUGACUAUUUUGGCUACCAGAAAUGUUCUAAAGUGUGACUGGAAUUCUUCUCAUAUUUGUGUGACUCCUGGGCCAUAUAAUACCAGUGAUUCCUGGGAAACUGUUAAAAGAUGGUUAAAUGGACAUCAAAAUUUAACUUUUGAAAUCAUGAAUUUGGAAAAAACUAUGAUUGACACCUUUAGUAAGACAUUACCUGAACUAACAGGAUCUGAUAUUUUACAAAAAUCGUCUUCAAGUAUUGCUAAUUUAAAUCCUUUAAGUCAUUUCUCUACCUUGUUGUCAACUUCUUUAGGUAACACUGUAAUAAUUUUUGUUUUCUGUUUUGUUUUGUAUAUAGUCUUCCAACGCUGAAAAAAGCGAAGGCAACUGAAA